GUUGCUAACAGGUGAAGCUGAGCACUCUAGACGAACUGCCGUUGACAAAACGGAGGAAGGUGGGAUGACGUCAAAUCAUCAUGCCCUUAUGUUCUGGGCUACACACGUGCUACAAUGGCCGGUACAGACGGAGGCGAAGCCGCGAGGCGGAGCAAAUCCGAAAAAGCCGGUCUCAGUUCGGAUUGCAGGCUGCAAUUCGCCUGCAUGAAGUCGGAAUCGCUAGUAAUCGCAGGUCAGCAUACUGCGGUGAAUACGUUCCCGGGCCUU
rnacentral:rRNA from 1 species